GGGGAUCGAGCUCGCUCUACACCCUUUGUGACAUACCUAUAACUGUUGCUUCGGCGGGCAGGGUCUCCGUGACCCUCCCGGCCUCCCGCCCCCGGGCGGGUCGGCGCCCGCCGGAGGAUAACCAAACUCUGAUUUAACGACGUUUCUUCUGAGUGGUACAAGCAAAUAAUCAAAACUUUUAACAACGGAUCUCUUGGUUCUGGCAUCGAUGAAGAACGCAGCGAAAUGCGAUAAGUAAUGUGAAUUGCAGAAUUCAGUGAAUCAUCGAAUCUUUGAACGCACAUUGCGCCCGCCAGCAUUCUGGCGGGCAUGCCUGUUCGAGCGUCAUUUCAACCCUCAAGCUCUGCUUGGUGUUGGGGCCCUACAGCUGAUGUAGGCCCUCAAAGGUAGUGGCGGACCCUCCCGGAGCCUCCUUUGCGUAGUAACUUUACGUCUCGCACUGGGAUCCGGAGGGACUCUUGCCGUAAAACCCCCAAUUUUCCAAAGGUUGACCUCGGAUCAGGUAGGAAUACCCGCUGAACUUAAGCAUAUCAAUAAGCGGAGGAA
rnacentral:rRNA from 1 species